rnacentral:misc_RNA from 1 species
CGAAGAAAUAAGUGGGACAACCUUGACUUAACAAAGUCGCUGUUGUCUCCAAACCAACACCCUUUGUGAAUGCUUCACUUAUUUUUGCUGGUUUAAAAAUAUGUUGGCUCUUUUUAAGUUUCAACUUUUGAACUGGCAACCUUAACAAACUCUUACGAAUUUUUAUAAACCUGAAACCCAAAUGAGAAAACCAAAUGAGAAA